AAGUACUGGCUCUGGAAGAAUUGGGUAUAGCACUGUUUCCAAGACAGGAACUUCCUUCUGUUUUAUUAUGAAUUUGAGCAACUGUAAAGAAAAAAAACAAUGACUCUUUUGUACAGCUUAAAACGAGCUGUGAUUUCUGACUAACACUCAGUUUCGUGAAAUCGUUUUGUAUGCAUUCACUAUUUUAUAUUUAUCAUUUUUACCUAAAUUAUUUUAUAUAUAAUUUUCCUCAAAGCAAACAUGACACAUGUGCCUGUUGUCUUAAUGGGUGUAUAGCGUGACACCAUGUUGCUCAGCUAGAUUCUUACUUCAGACUCCUUUUGUUACUAUAGUACAUUUUUUAUUAUUAUAAAUCGGUGUUUUACUAUUAUAAAUAAGGCUCAUGUGAAUAACUUUACCAACUUCACAAUACUUUGCCUCCCAUUUCGUAUUAGAACAUAAGGGGUCAUUAGAAAGCAACAGCAUUUUAAAAAUCAAACCUACCCAAACACAUAUAUCCAACUAAAUGCCACCUUUAAAAAUAGCAAUCUCAGGAGGCUGUGCACAGUUUUUUCUUAUUUAUAGUAGAAACACAGUCCUGCUAUGUUGUCCAGGCUGGUCUUAAACUGGAUUCAAGCAAUCCUCCUACCUCAGCCUCCCAAAGUGCUUGGAUUACAGGCAUGAGCCACUGUACCUGGCUCUGUUAGGCCAUUCUUGUAUUGCUAUAAAGAAAUACCUGAGACUGCGUAAUUUAUUAAAAAAAGAGUUUUAAUUGGCUCAUUGUUCUGCAGGCUGUUCGGGAAGCAUGGCAUUGGCAUCUGCUUCUGGAGAGGCCUCAGGAAGCUCAAAAUUAUGGAGGAAUGUGAAGGAGGAACAGGACUCAGAAUUCAUGCUUGAAGAAAUGCAAGCAGACCUGUUAUCCCAAAAACUAGAAUUUUUAAUGACCACAGCAAGCAAGCAUGCAGUUUCCCCUUGAAAGGGUCUUGCCUCAUCCAGGCUGGAGUGCCAUGGCUCUUUGAGGCUCACUACAACCUCAAACUCCUGGACUCAAGUGAUCCUCCACCUCCCAG
rnacentral:lncRNA from 13 species